rnacentral:rRNA from 1 species
UCAAUGAAUUGAUAGUGAUUAGCAAAACUCGAAAUUGAUGACCAAAACAAAGUCAAACUGGUGUCAUCUUUUGGUAUGCUCUUGCCCACAAAAUAUACUCCAACUUUUAUUAAGGGGUCAACUCAAGUUGUUUAACAAAAUUUGGAGAAUGCGGAAUGCCAACGUGACGAACUGAAAUUCCAGACUUAGAAAUUCGAAAUGCUGGAAUUUACAGCAGAUUCAAAAUUGUGCCUAUUAUUUGACAGGCUUAGAUGAUGAUUCAGACUUGGGCACUUUAACAAAGUUUGUAGCAUAAAAACUAUGCUACAACUUUUAAUAAAGGACCUUGUACUAUUUCUGCCUGGUCAGUAAGAUACAAAGCUCCCAACUAGGAUACCCGAAACUGAGCACCUUGAGGACAGCCAAAUUUCUGGGGUUCCAAAACAGCACUGCAUUGAAUCUUGUGAGCUUAAUUUGACUAGGAUAGGUACCAAACUAGCUCUUGACCAUUAAAUAAAGUUUGUUCUACAGAAGCAAAACUAUAACUUUUAUUUAAGGUCAAUCCUCAUAACUGGUACCAAAGUCAAACUUUCACUUUGGUCAAAGUAUCAACUUGAUAAAGCUCAAACUAGGAUUUUAGAGCAAAUAAAGCAUUUUCUUGGCACAAGCUCAAUAUGAACCCUUCAUGACCUUUGUUGUAGAGUUCAUUUAGAAUCACUUGGUCAAGAUUGCAAGGUUAGGUUAGUAACCCAAGGUUCCGUUCACCGAAUAAGGUCAUUCCAACAAGCAUGUAACUUAUCCUUUCAUUUGACCUUUUGAAUCCAAACUUCAUGAAACUUUUUGAGUGAUCAACCUAGGUAGAGAUGGAGGUGAUACAUGUGAAAGAAGCACCAUCAACACCCACAAGCUCUAUUAUGCAGGAUCCUCAAGCAUUCACUUGUCGCAACAUCAAAGUAUGUUUCAUACUAUCAUAUAUGAACAAUUGAUGCUUAUGCUCAUGAAAUGUGAGUGCCAAAAUGCAAGACAAACACCUGGGGUGUUACAGAACCGUAAGCCGGGUUACGGUGCCAAACUGCGCGCUAACAUAGAACCCACAAAGGGUGUUGGUCGAUUAAGACAGCAGGACAGUGGUCAUGGAAGUCGAAAUCCGCUAAGGAGUGUGUAACAACUCACCUGCCGAAUUAACUAGCCCCGAAAAUGGAUGGCGCUAAGGCGCGCGACCCACACCUAGCCAUCUGGGCGAGCGCCAUGCCCCGAUGAGUUGGAGGGCGCGGCGGCCGCUGCAAAACCCGAGGCGUGAGCCUGGGCGGAGCGACCGUCGGUGCAGAUCUUGGUGGUAGUAGCAAAUAUUCAAAUGAGAACUUUGAAGGCCGAAGAGGAGAAAGGUUCCAUGUGAACGGCACUUGCACAUGGGUAAGCCGAUCCUAAGGGACGGGGUAACCCCGGCAGACAGCGCGAUCUUGCGUGUUGCCCGCAAGGGAAUCGGGUUAAGAUUUCCCGAGCCGGGACGUGGCGGUUGAUGGCGACGUUAGGAAGUCCAGAGACGCUGGUGGGGGCCUCGGGAAGAGUUAUCUUUUCUACUUAACGGCCUGCCAACCCUAGAAUCGGUUCAGCCGGAGGUAGGGUCCAGCAGUCGGAAGAGCACCGCACGUCGCGCGGUGUCCAGUGCGCCCCCGGCAGCCCUUGAAAAUCCGGAGGACCGAGUACUGUCCACGCCCGGUCGUACUCAUAACCGCAUCAGGUCUCUAAGGUGAACAGUCUCUGGCCAAUGGAACAAUGUAGGCAAGGGAAGUCGGCAAAACGGAUCCGUAACUUUGGGAAAAGGAUUGGCUCUGAGCGUUGGGCUCGGUGGUCCCGGCCCCAAACCCGUUGGCUGCAGGCGGACUGCUCGAGCUGCUCACGUGGCGAGAGCGGGCCACCGCGUUCCGGCCGAGGGACGGACCGGCAACGGUUCCUUCGGGGGCCUUCCCCGGGCGUCGAACAACCGACUCAGAACUGGUACGGACAAGGGGAAUCUGACUGUUUAAUUAAAACAAAGCAUUGCGAUGGUCCCCACAGAUGCUGACGCAAUGUGAUUUCUGCCCAGUGCUCUGAAUGUCAAAGUGAAGAAAUUCAACCAAGCGCGGGUAAACGGCGGGAGUAACUAUGACUCUCUUAAGGUAGCCAAAUGCCUCGUCAUCUAAUUAGUGACGUGCAUGAAUGGAUUAACGAGAUUCCCACUGUCCCUGUCUACUAUCUAGUGAAACCAUAACUAAGGGAACGGGUUUGGCGGAAUCAGCGGGGAAAGAAGACCCUGUUGAGCUUGAAUCUAGUUUGACUUUGUGAAAUGACUUGAAAGGUGUAGGAUAAGUGGGAGCCCUCGGGCGCAAGUGAAAUACCACUACUUUUAAUGUUAUUUUACUUAUUCCGUGGGUCGGAAGCGGGGCAUCGCCCCUCCUUUUGGCUCUAACGCCCGGCCUUGCCGAGCCGAUCCGGGCGGAAGACAUUGUCAGGUGGGGAGUUUGGCUGGGGCAGCACAUCUGUUAAAAGAUAACGCAGGUGUCCUAAGAUGAGCUCAAUGAGAAUAGAAAUCUCGUGUGGAACAAAAGGGUAAAAGCUCAUUUGAUUCUGAUUUCCAGUACGAAUAUGAACCGUGACAGCGUGGCCUAUCGAUCCUUUAGACCUUCAGAGUUUGAAGCUAGAGGUGUCAGAAAAGUUACCACAGGGAUAACUGGCUUGUGGCAACCAAGCGUUCAUAGCGACGUUGCUUUUUGAUCCUUCGAUGUCGGCUCUUCCUAUCAUUGUGAAGCAGAAUUCACCAAGUGUUGGAUUGUUCACCCACCAAUAGGGAACGUGAGCUGGGUUUAGACCGUCCUGGGAUAGGUUAGUUUUACCCUACUGAUGACCGUGCCGUGAUAGUAAUUCAACCUAGUAUGAGAGGAACCGUUGAUUCACAAAAUUGGUCAUCGUGCUUGGUUGAAAAGCCAGUGGCGCGAAGCUACCGUGUGCCGGAUUAUGACUGAACGCCUCUAAGUUAGAAUCCAUGCUAGCAACCGGAACCUGUGCCCGCCACUCGUCCCGACCCACAUUAGGGCGUUCGCGCCCCAAGGGCCCGUGCCAUUGGCUCAGCCUGCUCGGCCGACGCGCCGUAGCCGGCCGCCUCGAAGCUCCCUUCUUAACGAGC